UUUUCUGAAGUUAAACAUGUCUCCCUUCUUAAUUUGAUUUAUCAAAAAGUUUGUUUUUUCUUUACAGAUACUUUCCAAGAAAUCUUCAGAUUAAACUGGAUCCAGUUUUCUUAACUCAUGAAUGGUUUUUGAGCACACAGUGGAUGGUGGACAUUUAUAUUAUGUCUCCUUACAAGCAGGCAACGUCAUACAGAAUCAGCAAGAGCUUCUUGCAGCCUUGAAAGGGGUCACUGCUGUCACAGGGCAAUCUUCCUCUCUGUUUAGGUUUUGAUGGGUAAUUACCUGCUGACAGGUAAUGUAUUAUAGGAAUAAGGUAAUAUAUUCUUACGAUUUAC
rnacentral:lncRNA from 1 species